UACGUAGGGUGCGAGCGUUGUCCGGAAUUACUGGGCGUAAAGAGCUCGUAGGCGGUCUGUCGCGUCUGCUGUGAAAUCCCGAGGCUCAACCUCGGGCCUGCAGUGGGUACGGGCAGACUAGAGUGCGGUAGGGGAGAUUGGAAUUCCUGGUGUAGCGGUGGAAUGCGCAGAUAUCAGGAGGAACACCGAUGGCGAAGGCAGAUCUCUGGGCCGUAACUGACGCUGAGGAGCGAAAGCGUGGGGAGCGAACAGG
rnacentral:rRNA from 1 species